GAGGUCUCAAGCGUUGUUCGGAAUCACUGGGCGUAAAGGGCGUGUAGGCGGAGAAGCAAGUUGGGAGUGAAAUCUAUGGGCUUAACCCAUAAACUGCUCUCAAAACUGUUUCCCUUGAGUAUCGGAGAGGCAAGCGGAAUUCCUAGUGUAGCGGUGAAAUGCGUAGAUAUUAGGAGGAACACCAGUGGCGAAGGCGGCUUGCUGGACGACAACUGACGCUGAGGCGCGAAAGCGUGGGGAGCAA
rnacentral:rRNA from 1 species